rfam:Myotis davidii contig195067, whole genome shotgun sequence.
GCCAGUUUGGCUCAGUGGAUAGAGCAUUGGUCUACAGACUGAAAGGUGCCAGGUUCGAUUCCGGUCAAGGGCA